AUCCCUUUGAGGGCUUUGGGCUAGGAUCGAGUGUAGUAUUUGUUCUUACUAGUUUAAUAUCAGACGUGUCCUCUAUCUGGGGACAAUAUAGUAAAUGGAUUUUGGAACGAGGAAAUAGAAUAGGAGCUUAUACAGUUCACUCUGAGCACUGACCUGAUGUUGCAGCACCUCCAACAAUGGUAACCCUUU
ensembl:snRNA U2 U2 spliceosomal RNA